rnacentral:lncRNA from 1 species
CUCAUCAUUUUCUCAAGGAACGAAUUACAAAAAUAAUAAUCCUACUACCUUCCCUCUACUGCCCUAAUUUAAGCAAGAUUUGAAGUUUUUUCUUAAGCUCUCUGUUUCUACUAAGUUGGAAGAUUUGUGUCUUUUACUUCUCUCCUUUCCCUUUCCUAGAUGAAGUCUGCACAACACCAAUAUGACAAAGAGACAGUGUGACAAAGAGACACAAGACAGCUUGGAAGACGGUGGCCACUUCUCAUGGAAAAGAGUUUGCUUCAUUGUCUCAUAUGUCAGGAUGAAACAAGCCAACAGAACCUGAAAGUUCCACCACUCCAUGAGCUGUUGGUUAUUAAAAGCUGUCCUUAUGAUACUACUGCACUGAGAUGAAGGAUGCUGGGCUCUUCUGUGGAGAUGCUGUUAUUGCUGCUAUGGGACCUCCCUUUACUAAAAUGUCAUUUGAGGUAAUGUAUUACUCCCCCAGUAGCUACACAGCAGAAAAGAAGCUUG